GAUGAAGAACGCAGCGAAAUGCGAUAAGUAAUGUGAAUUGCAGAAUUCAGUGAAUCAUCGAAUCUUUGAACGCACAUUGCGCCCGCCAGUAUUCUGGCGGGCAUGCCUGUUCGAGCGUCAUUUCAACCAUCAAGCCCCCGGCUUGUGUUGGGGACCCUGCGGCUGCCCGCAGGCCCUGAAAACCAGUGGCGGGCUCGCUGUCACUCCGAGCGUAGUAGCAUAUAUCUCGCUCAGGGCGUGCUGCGGGUUCCGGCCGUUAAAAGCCUUUUUUUUACCCAAGGUUGACCUCGGAUCAGGUAGGAAGACCCGCUGAACUUAAGCAUAUCAAUAGCGGAGGA
rnacentral:misc_RNA from 1 species